rnacentral:lncRNA from 1 species
ACCCAUGAAUGGAAUUGGGGGGUUUAUUGUGAAGGGCCAAUUUGGCGGAGACGUGGAGAUGGGUCGAAGCAGAGAGCAAGUGACAAGGAUACAGAGUCGUCAUUGCCUCGAAAGUAAAGACCUUUUGCGGCGAAAUUCAAAAGAUUAGGUCACAGUUUGAGUUCAACCAUGAUUGAUUGGAGUGUUGGAUAAGAGGUUCCGAGUUUCAGAGAGUUUCAGGGCAGACGGGUCUGGCUUUCAGGAAACAGAAGGGUUUUAACUGUUUUAAACUUUAAAGGGAUGGAGCCUCAAUCUGCUGCCUGAACCGCACAUUGUUACACUUUUUUUUCCUACGAAAACACGAAAAUAAUAAAAAACAAAAUUACGUGCUACACCUCUUCCCGACCGAUUCAAAUAGAACAUUGUGGACACAGAAAAGGUAAAUAGUGAAACCUACAACUGAGUUCUCAUUAAAAUGAGCGUGAUCAGCUUGACGGUCUGCGUCUCUGCAACGUUGUUGAUCUCUUUGUAAACAUGUCAGAAAACUAUUGAGUUGCACUUACCAGUCAUCUGACGAAUAUGCACGUUGUAAACUUUUACUGAUCAUGCUAUAUUGGCAUAUUAUUUACUCAAAAAGAAAAAAUUGGCUCGAUCGCACUAUGUCGAUAUGCUACGAGCGAGUCUGACCUGGUUGAGAGAUGCAGAUUAAGUUGUCAUUACUUGAUUUUUACACUAUGAUCAUUCAUUGUCUUGAUUUUGUUGCUCAUAUCAUUGGUGUCAAAAUUGUAGGUCAUUGUAAUGAGAUCAGAUAUGUGACUCGCAACACGGGUAAUAGGUUUUUGUCUAUUGAGAGGAUAACAGAUAAUAGUUGGGAUCUUGUUUUAUGCAGUCUAUCAAUCAGAGAAUUCAAUUUUUUUCUUCAUUUGUGUCUUUGUAUGAUAUAAUGUACGAUUAUGAUGACGCGAGAUUUAGAUACAAACUCCAAAAGCUAUUGUGUCUUUUACAUAAUCGUACGAUUAUGUACGAUUAUGAUAUUGAAGGUGUGGAGAUUCCUUUGGUAUUUUGGAUUAGUGGCUAUGAGCUUCUUUUUGUUGCCCGUGAUGGGCAUGCAGGUAUCUCUGCAUCCAUGGUGUAGAAUAACCAAAUUGUAUACAAGUUGUUUCGUGAAUGAUGCAUGUCAUGCAUUAACUAUGGCAUAAAGUUAUAAAAUGAGUCUUAAAAAUAGUAAUAUUAGUCCUCAAAGUUGUAAUGUGAGUCUUAAAACAAAUGGGAAUAACAAAGCCUUUGCACACACAUACAUGAUGUCCCAAACUCAAACCUCUCUCGCUCUAACUAUAUAUUAAACAUUAAACCAAAAUGACGAAUAUUGGAGGGCAUAGUUUGAACCCAGAAUAAGAAGUUGAAAUCCUUAUUAUCAUCAAAGACAAUUUUCGAUCGUUAAGUUGUCCAACUAGCUAGCAUGGUACUGAUAGUACGUAUUGAUGUUAGCACUUCCAGAUGAUUUUGUCUUUAUCACCUGUUUUCCUGACGGCACUAGGUAAAGACAUGUUAAGAGUAUGUUUCUUUGCUCUAUACUUUGAUGAGUUUGAUCAAGACCGAUCACUCGUAUCGAAUUGUAGACUACGAUGCAUGCUCACUUCGUAAUGUUCUUUUGCUUGCGGAAGCUAUGAGGCUCACUUCUCUUAUAUUGUAGAAUUAAUACUCAGACCAUGCACCAGUUUAGUGGUAAAAAAUCAAUCAUCAACUUAUGAUCUUCUAGCAGGUAGCUAGUGGCAAUGUGGCAUGGUAUGCCUCUUCCUAGCUCUUGCAUGUUAUAGCCAACAAAGAUAUUCAAUUUCAUUAUUGGUUAAUUAGUAUGCAAUAAUAAACUUGAAAAUGACUUAUAACUUAGCUCAUGUAACCCUAGAGAAAGUAACUAAUGCAUUUGAUAGAUUGGUAUAUAGGGAACAUCGAUCAAAUAACCUGAGAAUAUAUGAAAACAUCAUAAGAACGACCAUGGUUUCUGAGGAAGAUGAGAUCUGAGACUGGUUGUACUUAAGAGUGCUCUGCAGCUGCUGCAACACCACAAUGGCUCUGCUUUAGGGUUUCUUAGCUCACUGUUCAUAGAUAGAAAAAAAAUUUAGAAAAUAUUUUAAAAGUAAUAAAUGUCAGACAAAAUUUAUCCUCCAAGUACCAAAUUUCUCAAGAAGCAAGAGCAUUAUAGAACCGUAUUAAAUCCUGCAUAUAUAUCAUUGUAAAUAGUAAACAAAAGAGGACAUUCAGUUAACUCUCAGGGCAACAUAUCUGCUCUUAAGUAACAUUAACAGAAUCCUCUAUGGUGCAACCGAUCUAUAUAUCCAGAAUGGCAAACACUCAUCAGAAGCAAGCUUAAUCUGUAGAGCCGAUAAACUUGCCUUCUUUCAUGUUCACAAACCCAGGAGAAGGAGUUGGAACAUAGGAUGACUUAGGAGGAUUCAGUUUAAACACUUUUGAACACAUCUCGUCUCUGAACAAUUUAUACUUGGCCGCAGCAACCUUGUCUUCGGGGCAUUCAUACGUACCAUGCAGCCUGCAGUGACAAAUAUGACAAUACUUGAGACUAAUCCUUGCCUCGUUCCCAGGACAAGAGGUACAAACCCACUUCUCUUCAUUAAAUGGAUGACCCAUGGAACAAAUUAUGUCAUAGAAAGGGCUAAGAGGUGCACCCUGUGGGUAGAAGUCGAAGUAAGGGCAAACUUGAUGGUAGUGGUCGUUAUAACAGAUAUUACAAGGCCAGUGAGGGCAGAAAGAAAGGGGAAUAUCCUUAGGACACUUUUCACAAGGCAGACCGUCUGGUCCUUCAAUUCCAAAUUUUGGAGCACCCUUGCCUAUAUAGCUGGAGCUACCUCCUGUUUGUUUGCAAUUCGAUUGUUAGAUAUCUGAGGGAAUAAGAAUCUAUAUAUGGUAGUCACUGCUGAAUUUUCUUUUUCUUAAAUACUUGUAUAACUUGAUGAAACAUAAACCCAGUUACAGAAUAUGGAAAACUGUACCAAACACCAGAAUAUAUCUACUAGAGUAUGAUAUGUAGCCAAUUCACAAACACCAGAGUCCAGAAUAUACAAUUUGUUCAAAUAACAAAACCCAGAAAGAAAAUUAUUUGAUACAAUCUUGAUAUUCCCAGUAAAAGAUACUUGGGUAAAGAAUUAUACUCAUUAACUUAAAUUAUAAGACAAAGCCUCUUCCAGAUUUGGUAUAAAAAAGCUUAACGCGAAACAAAAUCUCCCGAAAACUAAGCAACAACAACGAAUUCUUAACAAAAUUCAAAAGCAUACGACAAAAGAAGGAGAAGAAAUUUUCAUACCCGGAGAAUCGCCGGUGUCGUCCCACUCGUCCGAUGGUUCAGCCAUAACGACCGACCUAGGGUUCGAUUGGAGAAGGCCCUUUUUAAUAUCUGACAAGAUUUCUUAGGCCCCUCUUUUAUAACGAUGAUCACAGGUCGGGUCAAGUUUUUGAGUUUUUGUACACGCGUGUUCAAGAUACGUGGCUUGUAUUGCAUUAAAGGUCGGAAUUUUCAGUUUUCUCUUCCUGUUUUAGCUCUCUCCGUCAUCUAUCCAAAUUUCACAUUUUUUUUUUAUUAGAUAAACAACUAACAUGCUACAACAAAUCUAUUGUAAGUCGAACUCACGACCUCUCAUUUAGAGACUAGAGCAAACAGUAUUGGGCUAAAUUCCAUAUUUAAAAAAAAAACUUAAUUUCCAAAUAACUUUUUUUUUAUAAUUAAUUGAUGGUCCUUUAUUAUUUUCAAGAACAGUCUUAUUAUAGCGAUGAUGGCAGUGGGUCGAGUCGGGUCGGGUCAGGUAUUUGAGAAUUCCAGCUCCAGCCGUUGAAGUAGAUGAAGACUAGUGUUGCAUCUAAUUGUUGAAAUCUUUUCCUUCUUUUUUCUCUUUACAGUCUCCUUCUCCUUUCCUUCUUGUGUACACACCGGGGUACCCGAAAAAGCUUUGCUUCAUCAAAUGCAAAAUGUCACGAAGACAUGAAUUAUUUAAAUACCCCAUGUGCUCCCUCGUCUUACACCGAACACUGGUUUUUGUUGUCCCAAUUUGGGUGACAUCUCACCACUGCCUUCUUUGGUUCUUCCAUUUGCAAUUGUCACAUUUGCCGCCUUAGACGCUUUUCUCAGCUUUCGAGUGCAUUUCAUUGAUCUGCCUUCCGCAAGCUUCAACAAGUCCGGUGUGUCAAAGUCUCCACAUGCGCUCCCUAAUCGUCAACGACUUGCACCAAUCCUAGUUGUCCAAUGCCUCUACCAGACCCCCCGGAAUGGACUUCAUGAAGAGGUAAGGGUCAAAUUAGUGGAUUUGAAGAUGCUGUAUUCCUGUAUAUCAUCAUCAUCUGUGUCAUUUUUUAGAUCAAAGUACACACAUUUCCUGCAAUUAUUAUUCCGAUAUGCAUCUCGAAAAUGGUCCAACAAAACAUAUAUUCCAAGAAUUACAUCCCAUUUUUGAAUACAAAGUACAUCCAAAUGAAAGGAAAAGGAAAACAAGUAAAUAUCAAAAUGGCAAAUUGAAUGAACUUGAAUUCCUCGAAUGAUCUCUCUAAUACCCUACGGUUUGUUGGUAGCCUCAAGGCCAAGGGUCAAGGGAUGUAUCCCGGACGACAAAAUCAGAGCUACAACAAUCUCUGCAUGAUGCAAUAACACCUUUAGUCUUGACUCUUUGACACAGUGAUUUAAAAGGAUAGAUGCUGCUAUCGAGUAACUUGAUCAAUGGAACAUUGCUUCAUUGGACCUAAAUCAUAUCCAGAGAGCAUGGUUCUUUACUGCAGGCCAAAAACUACCUGCAAGAAAAGAAAAAGGAUGAGUAAAAGUGUAAAACAAUGAAAUGGGGUUAAGUACAACAAGAAAGAAAAAAAAACACACAAGGAUAUUCAUCAUGUAUAAACAAUGUAAAUGAUAAAAGUUCAAAUAUACCUAGUGUUGCACAAAAAAUUUAGAGUUCAUUUGGUUCCGAUUGGCUGCCACUUUUAGAAUGGUGUGGUGAUGCUUUUCGAGGUCUUCUGUACCGCAUAAAGGCAAACCACAGUGUCCUUAACAAACCGCCAUUGGCAAUGUGUGGGAUUAUUAUUCGGCCCCAAUAUGGGUAAUAUGGACCUGGCAAUUUGAGCAGUGUAAAGAAAAUUGCCAUGACAAAAAGAUGCCAGGGAACUUCUGUAUCCUGACAAUGAGAAAAAGACAAAUAAGCUAAACUGCAAACAACCUUCCUAAUAUAAGAAUUGUUCCAAUAGAAGAAAAUCGGAAAAAUGCAAGACAUAAGAAAAACUAAUGAGAACUGUACUGAAAGUAGUGCUUUACUCUUCUAGUAGGAAAUGCAGAAGCAUAUACAAGCUUUAAAUUUGGCAAACAAACACAAACGACAAAACAAAACACGUGAUGAAUCAGCAAAAAGCUUUGUCUAAUCACCAGUCAACUUUAAGAACAUUCUUACUAAUAUUUCUAAAUAGAGAAGAACCAGAUUACUAGACAACCCACCCAAACUUUGGUGAAAUCUAUCUUCCAUAUGUAGGGAAUUCCAACCGAGCAAUGAAAAAUUGUUUAACUCUAUAACAUUUUAGUAAAAGCGAUAACAGCUUUACCUUCAGAAGUGGAGAAACAUCCACGGCUGCCAGAUUUAAGACUUCAGCAACAGCGAUUCCAAUGAUGACAGGUAUAGGAACAAAAAACAACUUCCUUUCCUGUGCGCAGUAGGACAUCUCACUAAGAGAGGAAACUGCUAGCAAAGGUACACAUAAGUAUUUGACAACUGCUAGUACAAGGUCAAGGAUGAGUUGAAAAUAGUUGAGCCCUGCUCUUUUCCAAGGGAAUAUCUUGACUGGCUGUGGAGAACUAUCCCACAACUUUCUUGCUUUAGCGAUUAGGUGAUCAAAUUUAAUCUGCCCAGGGUCAUCUGACUGUCCAGCAGUCAUAUUCAUAGCACAUGAGAUAUUGUACUGGGAAUUCUGAAGCAAAUGAGAAGGCUUAGCACUCCGACCAAAGGCAUGUACUUCACUAAACUGUGCCAAAGCCUUGUACAACAGAAAGAAACUUGUUAUAAGCGAAUGAAACUAAAAAAAGAAGAAAGUAAAACAUACUCCGAUCUUAACUGCAUUUAACACAAGCAACAUUACAAGUAGCUAUGACCCUGUUGGCAAAGCUGCUGACUAGAAAUUUUAUUUCUCAAGUCAAAAACUGUGAAUUCAGUAAUUAUAUCAUUUAUAUGAUGGGGGUGUUCUAAAUCUAUUCCCUUAGCAAAACUAAAAUAUGAUCCUUUAAAUCAGAAUAUGAUUGCUUUGAAAAUAGUACAGCACUAAGACAGCAAAUCAUUCUGUAAUCAAACUUCGAAAUGCUUCUAAGAACCAAAAUUGAAGGCAAUUAAUUUCCUUUUUUGCCCAUUGAACUUAGAUCAGCUUUGCCAGCCUCAACCGAGAUACUAAUUGUUAAACAUUUCUGACAAAGUUUGGACAACAAAACAAAACUCAGUAUUGUCAUUAUUCACAAAAACUAUUCAAGCACAGUUACAUGUAUUUGAAAGAGUUUAAGGAGUUAUAUUGAAUUUCUUUCGGUUAAUACAAAGGGCAACCUUACAGAACUUUAUGCAUCAUUUGGAAUCGUGGACCUUGAUCCAAGAGUUCCACUUUUCCCAAUAAUAAACCUUACGAGCUUUUCAGAAACAAAAGAUCUAUUACUAACCCAACAAAUAAAACUGAUGCUCUUCUAUGUUGGAUGCACCAUUAAGAGUUAUUAGAUUCUAACUUACUAACAUUAUGUGUUCUUUUCUUUUUUUCCUUGAGUCCAACAAACAGAGGCAAUUCUCAUACCCAUUCAAGAAAGUGAACCCACAUGCACCAUUAUCAGUCAAAUUCUCAUACCCAUCUUAUCCAUAUAUUUACCCACUUCAUCCAUUUACUUACCUACAUGAACCAGCCAUAUGCAACUUUCAAACAAGAAUGAACACAACACAAGUCUUAAAACAAUGAAAUUCACUAACAAAUCUAUCAAUGUCUAGAAGCAUGACGGUUAUUCCAAUACGAACUGUCUAAAUUUCAAAAGAAAAAGUGAACUAAUGAUGAAUUGGAAGCUGACCGUGAACCCAUGAAUGGAAUUGGGGGGUUUAUUGUGAAGGGCCAAUUUGGCGGAGACCUGGGGAUGGGUCGAAGCAGAGAGCAAGUGACAAGGAUACAGAGUCGUCAUUUCCUUGAAAGUCAAGACCUUUUGCCGCGAAAUUCAAAAGAUUAGGUCACAGUUUGAGUUCAACCAUGAUUGAUUGGAGUGUUGGAUAAGAGGUUCCGAGUUUCAGAGAGUUUCAGGGCAGACGGGUCUGGCUUUCAGGAAACAGAAGGGUUUAACUGUUUUAAAG